rnacentral:rRNA from 1 species
AGAGUGAACGCUGGCGGUAGGCCUAACACAUGCAAGUCGAACGGCAGCACAGGAGAGCUUGCUCUCUGGGUGGCGAGUGGCGGACGGGUGAGGAAUACAUCGGAAUCUACCUUUUCGUGGGGGAUAACGUAGGGAAACUUACGCUAAUACCGCAUAAGACCUUCGGGUGAAAGCCGGGGACCUUCGGGCCUGGCGCGGAUAGAUGAGCCGAUGUCGGAUUAGCUUGUUGGCGGGGUAAAAAGCCCACCAAGGCGACGAUCCGUAGCUGGUCUGAGAGGAUGAUCAGCCACACUGGAACUGAGACACGGUCCAGACUCCUACGGGAGGCAGCAGUGGGGAAUAUUGGACAAUGGGCGCAAGCCUGAUCCAGCCAUACCGCGUGGGUGAAGAAGGCCUUCGGUUGUAAACUGCUUUUGUACGGAGCGAAAAGGUCUGCCCUAAUACGGCGGACCCAUGACGGUACCGUAAGAAUAAAGCACCGGCUAACUACGUGCCAGCAGCCGCGGU